rnacentral:snoRNA from 1 species
UGGUCUUGACCAAGGCUUUUAGAAUGUAGUUUCUGAUUUGCUGUAGAUUCCACAUUAAAAAAAUAAAUUCCACUAUGUUUUUGUCUUCAUUUCCCUGCUAUAGCAUGCAACCGGUUGAAAAGAGGU